rnacentral:rRNA from 1 species
ACGAAGGGGGCUAGCGUUGUUCGGAAUUACUGGGCGUAAAGGGCGCGUAGGCGGUCUUGUAAGUCAGGUGUGAAAGCCCUGGGCUCAACCCAGGAUGUGCAUUUGAUACUGCAAGACUAGAGACCGAGAGAGGAAAGUGGAAUUGCGAGUGGAGAGGUGAAAUUCGUAGAUAUUCGCAAGAACACCAGUGGCGAAGGCAGCUUUCUGGCUCGGUACUGACGCUAAGGCGCGAAAGCGUGGGGAGCAAACAGG